rnacentral:rRNA from 1 species
GAUGAACGCUAGCUACAGGCUUAACACAUGCAAGUCGAGGGGCAGCAUGGUCUUAGCUUGCUAAGGCCGAUGGCGACCGGCGCACGGGUGAGUAACACGUAUCCAACCUGCCGUCUACUCUUGGACAGCCUUCUGAAAGGAAGAUUAAUACAAGAUGGCAUCAUGAGUCCGCAUGUUCACAUGAUUAAAGGUAUUCCGGUAGACGAUGGGGAUGCGUUCCAUUAGAUAGUAGGCGGGGUAACGGCCCACCUAGUCUUCGAUGGAUAGGGGUUCUGAGAGGAAGGUCCCCCACAUUGGAACUGAGACACGGUCCAAAACUCCUACGGGGAGGCAGCAGUGAGGAAUAUUGGUCAAAUGGGCGAGAGCCUGAACCAGCCAAGUAGCGUGAAGGAUGACUGCCCUAUGGGUUGUAAACUUCUUUUAUAAAGGAAUAAAGUCGGGUAUGGAUACCCGUUUGCAUGUACUUAUGAAUAAGGAUCGGCUAACUCCGUGCCAG